GGAAGGACUGUGGCUCAGUAGAAGAGCCUCUGCUUUGCGUGCAGAAGGCUCCAGGUUCAAUCCCUGGCAUCUCCA
rnacentral:tRNA from 1 species